GUGAAUCAUCGAAUUUUUGAACGCAAAUUGCACUCUCUUCUGAUGGGAUGCCUGUUUGAGGGUCAGCCUAAAAAAAAUCGACAUCGUUUCUGUUACGCGGUAACAUGCGUCGGAUAUUGCGUCAUCUUAAACCUUUCGGUUUAUGCGGCUUAAAAUUUUCUUUACGUUUCCAAGCACGUUUCUAAGCUUUUAUUUUCUUAUACGUUUAUGGUA
rnacentral:misc_RNA from 1 species